AAGAAAUGUACACAUUCUUAUACAUAAUAGAAAGGUGGACAGAUAUGCAAGAAAACAAAAAUAUCAUCUUGCCAUUGUAUCUCUGACAUUAAAAGGACAUUUGAUACAGAAAUACAAUAUUGUAUUUUUGACUACACUAGAUUUCCAGGGGGUGAGGGUAGUGGGGAGAAUCAUCAUUUUACCCACCCAUACUUGCAUGCUGUGUCCAACACCAGACAGAACAACUUUACACCAUAAACACUUUAUUACAUAAGCUAAAGGUUUCUUUGUAGCCAAAAAAAGUUUGAAGCUCCAGGGAUGAACCACCCUAUCUAUUCUUUGUCUCUGCAUCAGGCAUUGACUGUUGGCUUCUGUCAGAGACAGGCACUGGGCUAAGUGGCAUCUGACACCACCCACCACAUCUGCUCUAAUAAAACACACAUUUAGAGGUGUGUGUUUUAUUACCAGGCCUCCAGAACAUGGCUGUGAAUGCACCAUGCCAGGGUAGUACAACGGUGGCAUUACUAGUGACAAAAAUUAUAUUUUGUAGAAAAGAGGGUCUGUUUAGAAAAAUUGAGGCCUCUGAGCCUAAGCCUCUAAAAGCAGGGAAAGAUUUUUUGCUUUUGGAUUAUGCUGCUGAACUCAAUACACUCUUGUAUGACUGGCAUGAACAUUAGUAUUCAAUUUGCUGAAAGAUAAGCUAGAAAGAAAGCAACAAUCAAUUUUAACAAUGGAGUAACAUAAAUUUAGGAGCAUCAGCCCCAUAUAUGCCGAUUAAACUUUUUCUGGGAUGAAAACACACAGAACUCAACUCUCUGCAUGUCAGUUUACGUCUUUGAUCCUGUACCAAUUACAAUCUUCAAUCUAUUUCAGUAUCUCACUUCCAAGAAUAAUAGGAGUUUUAAAACAGAACUGAGAAAGUUCCCAUGGACUUCUAAAACUGUCUCCUCUGUGCCAUCUCAGUUUAUUUGCAUGUCCAAGCUAGCAUGGUUUUAAAUUUUGUUCUCAAAUUACAAAAGAAAAGCACAGAAUAUUCUAGAAGCUGUACAGUUUUUAUACUGUUUUUCAGUAUCAGUAAUCUGAAGAUCAUGUCACAGUAGUUUAAAUUAUUCUGACCAAGCUAACUAUAAAUCCAGUAGUUCACAAAAUAAUAGCACCUGUAACUCCGUGACAGUUACAAAUAAGUUAUAUGAUGCAAGCUAUAAUUUUUAAACUCAAAAGAAUUUGGUAUAUAAUAAAGAAUUACAAAUUUCAACACUUAACAGCUCUCGCAUGGCAUAAGUAAAAAACAGCAGUCCACAUUAAAAACAAAAUGCUAAGGCAUAUUCCUAACUGGAAAAGGCAUUGCAUGGUAAUAGUGUAUGUCAUUAGGGAGUAGGAGUUUUGACUAAAAAGAAGAAAGUACUAACUUUAGAAUUCCUGGAGCCUCCACAAAUAUUCCUAGAAAGGUGCCUAGGCAAAACUUCUGCUUUACUUACGCUGCUGACUGUUCAUGAAGACAACUGAAGAACAGGCAUACUGUAAUAGUCUAAAGUGCCCAAUUUUUAUCUGGGAGAUACAUGCAUACACAUGAUUCCCUUCUUCCUUGAAAAAAACUCAUGUGUUCCAGUGUUCACCAUUGGAAAUGUGGAGCAAUCAAAGUCUGUGUCUUCACUGAAAUGCCUGUCAAAUCUCCUAACAGUUUUCUCCUUAAUUUUACAUUAGCUCUCUGGUCAGAAAGAAGAGUUUUCUGGCAGUCUUACAAAGCUGAUUGCAACCCACUGUUGUAUUCAAGGAUUAUGUGUGUAUACAUUCUUAAGCACUCUCUUUGGCCUGGAAACACUGACCGUGUCCCCUUCUACAGAACUGUAGACAUCAACAAAUAAGGCCAUGGAAGUGCUCAUUUCAUGUGCUUUCCUAGCUUGCAGAGUCCCACACAGCCCUGGGGUACUCCCCACCCUGUUUGUAUUUUCAAUGGUUUAUACCUUGAAGAAUUCACUGUCUUGAUGUUAAAUUAUGGUACACAAAAUUAGAUGACUGACUCACAUUACUCUUGUGGGAUUAGUGCCCCAUCUUCACAGAAAUUUAUGGUUUACUGAUAAAGCAAGAUCGAUUGUCAGAUAACAAUAGGAAGAAAGUGGUUAUUUCACUCCUGGUAGCAUUUUAGUUUACAGAACAUGUGAACAUCACCUGCAACUAGACUAGCAAUAAACUGACCUUGUAGAGAUGAAACUAAAGGAUUAAAUGCAAGACAACAGUAAUGAAGAUACAAAGUGAUAACACAGCAAUAUCGAGAAGGAAAACAGUGGUGUUCCAGUGGGGCCUCUGUAUCCCACCAAGGACAUCCAGGACCAUUCUACACAGAAGGCCUGGCACUGUGGGCAGUCUGACAAACAACUGAAAGGAAAAUGAAGUUCUGACAAAAAAAAUUUGUUUUUUGUUCCUCUGUUUGCCAUCACAGAACUACAGCAACUCACAAGUUUCAACUACAACUGACUUUUUUUUUUGUGUUCCCCACUACACUGUCUCCAGAGCAGCUGACCUGCUGGUCUGAAUACCAGAGAAGACAAUAUGGGGAAGUUUGUUGUAGACAAACUUCACAAUCAAUAUCAAUAUCUUGCCUUCCUUUGGUGGGAAUGUGCAGACCUCAAGGACAUGCUUCAAAGGCUCAGAUGUUGUCUAAAAUAAUCUAUAUCUAAUGAGUUUAUAAAUUAGUAAAUCUAGAAGCUAGGGAAGAGGCAACGGCAUCCUUAAAGCACAAUGUAAGGACAAACUAACAUGAAAUACCACCUCUGAAAAAUCAUCGCUUAAAACUUUGGAUGUAAACUGUUUAUCUGACUUUAAUACAGGUCUUAGAUCCUAGCAUUGCCAGAAAAGUAAUAGCUCUAUAACACAAGCUGCACAUUGUGGAAUUGCAAUAUUUUAAAGUUAAUAGAAUUAAUCUUUUACAAAACGACAUCUGUGUUUACAACUCAUUUUAGAAAGCUAAUAAUACUUUCUGAAAUUGUCAGCCUGAGUCAUUGGAGAUUUUUUAAAUUAGAAAAAUGGUAGAGUUGAUCUGAGUAAACAGAACUAUUUAGCCAGUCCAACCCAAAUGACAUUUUCUCAGCCAACUCUGUCAUGACCCAAACUAAUUAAAAAUCAUAACCAAAAUAAAAUUAGAAGGGACUUCAUUUAAUCCAGUCCCCCAAACAGCAUACCUCUAACUUUCCUGAGAAAUAUUUCAUCUAUUACAGGCAUCCAGUGAUGCCUUUACAUUGUGCCCCAGGCAAUCUUACUUAAAUGCUACAUUAUCAUCUGCACUGGAAAAUUUGCCUAACAUCUACCCUGAAUUAUUUUCUUGCUGCAAUUUAAGGUAUUCUAUGUCUGUAAUGGACAAGAAAACUGUGUUAUUUCCUCAGGCAACAAAGAGAAAUAAUUUAUGUCUAUGCCAAACUGUCUCAAGUUCAGUGUGUUGCAGGGCUGCCAUUUUACUGGUGACAUCCCAUGGCAGUGACACAGACUUCAUCAAUACUUAGAACAACGUCUUUUUCAGGGAAGGUUUGCUUAGGUUAUCAAAUUUUAACUUCUUUCCCAUCAAAACCAGCACAAAGCCUGGGAAGUCAAGCCAUGUUAAACUGCACACAAAAACUACAACUGCCACUCUUUGAUAAAGACCUCACUCAGCAUCUAACAAAACACUAGCUCAAACAAAACAUGUGGGUCCAUGGAGUGUAAGAAGUUUGGGAAGAAUUUUACAGAAGCAGGCUAUGGGGAAAUCAAGAGCAGAGGAAGAGGGUUUCUGUUUAGAAAGAUGAAUUUUUUGCAGUUGGUAGAGAUUCACAUUUAACAAGCACUUCCUUAGCAAUGCUUCAAAAGCAAUUACUUUUACACUCUACUUCUGAAUUGUUAUUAGGAAAUAUUUCUAAUGAACAGCUGCUUUAGGAAAUUGCUGCUGUUCACUUGCCUCUUCUCUUCAAGGCUUUCAAAACAGGAAACUGCUUCCCAACCUUUGGUUACCUAACUGUUCAGAAACUUCUGUUACAUAGACAGGUUCGGGUUGGAAGGGGUAUUUUUGAUCAUUUAGUUCCAACCCUUGUGCCACGGGCAGAGACACCUUUCAAUAGGCCAGGUUGCUCUGGGCCCAUCUAGCCUGGCCUUAGUAUUUCCAACUGCGGCAUUUUUAUUAAAAAUUCUAUUUGUACUUUCAAAGAAGAGCCAAGUGUUUUCUCAGAGAACACAGAAACACUUUCGAGGUCUCGAGUAUCUUCUAAGUAUUAGCUAUAAUGCUCUUACAAAAAAAGAACAAAACCCCCAAAAAACACAAGGAAUCAAAUAAAAAGAAGCAUGUUUCAUCAAUGGCAACUCCUGGUCAAGAUCUUGUCUGCAGCUUUCUAUACAGAGAAAACAAACAAAAAAUUUUCAAGAUCAGUGCAAACCAGUCUACAGAAUUCUCAACUAGAGUAUGAAACAGCAAGUUGUCCUGCAAAUGUUAAUUCAGCAGAACAUCCGAGCAUAUGCAGAGACUUCAAGUCUAAAACAUCACUUCAACAGACCAGAGCAGAAGAGUACAGCAGCAGUGGCCUGCCUGCCUCUCUCCCAAAAGCAGUACAAAGAUCACUUGAAGCUUUGUGCACUAUAACCCGAUAAUAGUAGGUGCUUCCUGCCUCUUAGCUGCUGCUCUGAUCUGCCAGCUCAGAGGUUAUAAUCGCUCUGGGAGGCUCUGCUUCACAUGUGCCAAUCAGUUGCUAUGCAGCGAGCCAGGAACAAUCCAGAGCCCAGCCUUUACCAGUAAGAAUGGUUCUAAGAAUCCAUCACAGGCUCCACCUCACCACCACAAAAACACAAAUGCUUUAAGCACAUACUACGGCUGACUGCUUUGUAUGGUGAUGUUAGAGACAAAAUUAUUAAAAUUCACUGACUUCUCCGUCAGAUAAUCCAACAGUGUCUGUAUGUUUGGCAAACUGCCCAACUAUGCACGUAAGGAUUCAUUAAGGUUUUCUUCCAGCACUGCAGAUACAGGGGACCACAAGUACAGCCAAGGCAAAUAAUGCCACUGCCAGCUUAGGAAGGCAGUCUAUUUCGACAGUACAUAUUUAAGAAAGAACAUUAAGUGAAGACUGAAUUAAUUGCAUUCGUUGUGCUUGGAAAUGUUCCACAGUAAGCAGCCUACAGCAGAAAAGCAAGUCUAAGAACUAAUUAGA